GGGGGCGAUCAGGAUUCGACGACGGUUACGAAACCCAAGGUGCAUGUCGAGGGCGUAGCGGCUCUCGUAAAUCAAAACGCUACAAACGUGUAGUUGCUAACGAUAAUAGCUUCAACGGAGCAAUGGCUGCCUAAUAACAGCUUUCUCCCGAUCACUCUGUCUUGUCUGUUGGGUGGAAAUUGAUCGUUACCGAAAAUAGAAUCGCCACAUCGGUCUUCCUGGAGCCGGUGGGUUAAAUCCACAGGAUCGCGCAGUGUCACCCUGACCGUUGGGUCGUUCUGCGUUAACUUAAUAACGGAAACUAAGCAUGUAGAGCCGAAGGCGUAGAGCUGGCGGACGCGGGUUCAAGUCCCGCCGCCUCCACCA
rnacentral:tmRNA from 1 species